GCAGGCCUGUGCUGGAAUGGGUUAGCAUGGAAUAAUAAAAUAGGGCGUGCGUUUGUAUUUUGUUGGUUUCUAGAGACGCCGCAAUGAUUAACAGGAACAGUCGGGGGCAUCAGUAUUCAGUUGUCAGAGGUGAAAUUCUUGGAUUUACUGAAGACUAAUUACUGCGAAAGCAUUUGCCAAGGAUGUUUUCAUUAAUCAGUGAACGAAAGUUAGGGGAUCGAAGACGAUCAGAUACCGUCGUAGUCUUAACCGUAAACUAUGCCGACUAGGGAUCGGGCGAUGUUCUUUUUCUGACUCGCUCGGCACCUUACGAGAAAUCAAAGUUUUGGGUUCUGGGG
rnacentral:rRNA from 1 species